rnacentral:RNase_P_RNA from 1 species
CCGACAAUGUAUUUCGUCGCGCACCAUAAUGAUGGUGUGAGGAAAGUCCGGGCAACAUAGAGCAGCGUACCACCUAACAGGUGGAUUCCGAUGUAUUUCGGAAAUAGAAAGUGUCACAGAAAAGAUACCGCCUCAUUCAUUUGAAUUGGGGUAAGGGUGAAAAUGUGCGGUAAGAGCGCACACGAUGGUAUAGUAAUAUAUCAUUGCGACAAACCUUACGUGUUGAAAUGUCAAGUAUAUCCAACCGCCUUAAUAAUGAGGCUAAAUGUCGCUCGCAUGAGUUGGAGGGGUAGGCAGUAAAGAACCGCUUGGUGACAAUCGGUCAAGAUAAAUGACGAACUAAGUACAGAAUCCGGCUUAUUGCAUUGUUGGUUUU